AAGUCGUAACAAGGUCUCCGUUGGUGAACCAGCGGAGGGAUCAUUAAAGAGUUGCAACAACUCCCAAACACCAUCGCGAACGAUACCCCGUUGCCGUUGCUUCGGCGGGCGCGGCGGGAAACCGCUCCCCCCCGCCGGACGGGCACCCAAAGAACUCUCUUGUCUCGCAACAGGCCUCUCUCUGAGUACUUAUUAUAAUCAAGUCAAAACUUUCAACAACGGAUCUCUUGGUUCUG
rnacentral:misc_RNA from 1 species